AAGGGUAUGAAAAUCACGUUCUCCUCGAUGCCAUCUUCAUUUUACAAAACACUCCAUCCUUCAUCCACGCCGCUUCUCACCGAUUCGCUCCUAAUCCUUCAUCAUCGGCGCCUUUCGCCCCUUCACCGCCGUUCCCAAAGCUCCAUCACACCCCUUCCCCAAUCUCUCUCUUUCAGUUUCGAUGCUGAUGAAUUUCGCUACCUUCUUCACGCCGUUUUCUGUCGCUGCUCGCUAAAGCUCGUCAGCGUCGUCGCCGCCGCUUCUACCUCUUCUUCUCGUCACCGUUGGUUCAGUGACAGAUAUGGCAAGCUUUCUGUGAACGAACUCCCUUCAUUCUUCUCUUAUUUGUUUCCUCCCUAUGACUGUUGAUUUGGUUGUAGCUUCUCCUGUGGAGGAUUACUUUUUAUACAUUGAUGAUCUGAAAAAUCCUGAUAAGGAAGAAGCUGAGAAAAUUACACAACCAUAUUUAGAUGCUCUUGGUGAAGACUAUUCUGUUUGUUGCCUAGGAACUGCUUUUUUUCCUUUGCAAAGCUGCAUGAACCAUUCCUGUAGUUCUAAUGCCAAAGCCUUCAAGAGAGACGAGUCCUAAUCUUUUUGUAUGCAGGAUAGGGAUGGCCAAGCAACCAUAAUCGCAGUAAGGCCGAUUCGAAAAGGAAAAGAGCAACUGAGACAAGAUACCUGAAUGCUAGCAAUCGAGAACUAUGCCCUCCGAAUGAAGCUAGAGUAUCUUCUGAUAAUCCUGAUCCCCCACCUCAGGAGAAUAAGGCUCCUUGCUCACUUCUUAAAUUUACAUUUCAAGAACUUAAAGCUGCAACCGGAAAUUUCAGACCGGAUAGUAUUCUUGGGGAGGGUGGUUUUGGUUAUGUUUUGGCGCCAUUGAUGAGGUUUUGAUGAAGACAAAAGUGAAGGCAGAGGAGAUAGGGAUAAUUGUAACAAAUUGUAGCUUGUUGAACACAACACCCUCUUUGAGUUCAAUGGUUGUGAACCAUUAUAGGCUUAAGGAUGACAUUUUGAGUUAUAAUCUAAGUGGCAUGGGUUGUAGUGCUGGACUUGUAGCCAUUGAUCUCGCUAAAAGACUCUUACAGAUUGAAUUCAUAAAGAAUUGCUUAGGACAUGCUGGUUCAUUAGGAUAAUGUAAAAGCCACCACUGACUUUGCUCAAAGACUAGACAGAACUAUCACAGAGGACACUGAAAGACCUCAUUUAGCAUAUUACAACACCAGCAGUUGCAAUAGUCAAUAUGCCUGGCAAACCCUUAUCACUUAUGAUGCCUGCAUACGCCUGUGCCUGCAAGCAUGGGCAAGAGGCUGCACUGAGGCACCGGAGUUUUUGAAAGAUGAGUGCCUGGCUCUUCAAAGUGCCUUUGGAUUGCAUGACUUCUUGUUGCAACCUCGAGGUGUAAAAGUAAAACCAACUGAAGGCAUAAAUGCAAGGAAUUCAGAACAAACAUUUCCCCUGAAGAUGAAGAAGGUUGUAGGCAAAAUAAGAGUGGAAGUGAGGAAACUUCGCAUUAUACCAAGACGCAAACUUCAAAUACUAGUUCACAGAGAGGUUCAAUCUACAUACAAGCUGGGAGGGAAUACGUCCGACAUGUUUCAUCAUUCGUGAAAAGUGGCAUAAAUUCUAUGAAGUCAGCCUCAUCCUCAAUGGGAUUAGAAGUGAGGAAAGGAGCUGAAUUAGAUCUUGAAGGGACAAGUGCCAACCCACUUUGUUUCUGAACUCAUGAAGACAUGAACUUGGCUAUGUUUUAGCCUUCAUCAUCUGCUUCAUUCUCUGAGUGAGUUCAUUGGUAUAUGCUUCUUUAAUUAUUUCUUCUUAUUCAUGUUGUUGAUUCAUUCCAUAUAUAAUUUUAUUAUGGAUUAUGUAUUCUCUUCUUUUCGGUUCUUAUUUUGUCAUCUAAAUAAAAAGCAGGUUGUUAGACUUUGAUAUGAACUGAAAAUACUUAAUCAUUUCUAAUAUUUUAAAAUUUUGGGAUUCUGGUCUAUAAGAAUGUAGAUGAAUAUAAUUAUGUUGUAUAAAGUCAUAAACUAAAAGGAUCUGAUAGAUGCCAAUUAAGUUGUUUCAUAAUCAGUAAUAGAAAAUUUGAAAUGUAGAAAACAGAAUACUAAUGUUUUUAUGCUCAUUUUCUAUAUGGAAAGGAAGCAAAAUCUGCAAACUAAUGUUUAUUUUGUUUGAAAUCAAUCAUCAUAGAACUCUGUCUUCACUCUUCAAAAUUUGCAACAAUCUCUUUUUACAACAUGCAAGAUUAUUAACAAGUUCGCGAGUUGUGUCAUAUGAUUGAAGUUUAUCUAAGCUGCGUCUCUGAAGGCUUCUUCUCUGCAUGCUACCUCUCCCAGUAACUUUAUCUAAGAUAAGGUUCAAGCAAACUCAGAUCAGGCUAUGGUUUGGAAUCAGCUCAAAGCAGGAUCCUUCCAGUAAGUUUCGAGUUUCUUUUAGUUUUGCUUCCUGCUUUCUUGUUGCGACUACAUUUGAGUUGAGUUGAAUGGUAUGUUCUUGACAGGUUCAAUGAAGACUAACAGGGAUAUGAAGUUUCUGUAUUUCAUUUAUUUUUGUAUUCAUAAUGUGUUAUACCUGAUAUAAAAAUUUAGGCAAUAUUCUUUGUGUGAGUUGUUAUACUGGUUACAUGCUUUAUUAUUUUUUCACUGCUUGCUAAAGUUUCAAGUCUUUUUUCUUAUGUAGAUACCACCCUCCUCCUCCCUUCUUAUGUGAUGUGAUGAGAGAAUAAAGAUUAAUGUACCUCCAGAUACCAUGUAGUAGUGCUUUGUGUUUGUUGAAGAGAAGGUUAUAUAUAUAGAUAUUAGAUUAGAUAGGAACAAUGAAAAGGUACAUGCUUUUACAAUAAACAUGUCACCAUAAACAUGCUUCUUCUUCUUCUUCUUCUUCUUCUUCUUCUUUUCAGGAUGUAUAGUGUGGCCCUGGAAUUGGAUUCGCAUCAGAUCAUGCUUCUGCUUCUGUGGAUUGUGUGGUGGCAAGGUAGAAUACUUCUUCAAGAAGGAACCUUGAUGCUGUUGAGAGAGCAACACAUAGGGAAGAGUGUAGAUCAGAUAUAGUAAGGUAGACAUCCUCUACUCAGAAAGUGGGAAGCAGCGAAUAAUUUUGAUGGACCAAGAAUCUCAAGAAGCAAGUAUAUUGCCAUCAUCACUAAGAAGUUCAAGAAAGAAUGAAGCUAUCCAUAAAUUAGGAUAUUAAAUCUUGAUGAGUCCACUAGUAAUUAUUUGUCAUCUAAUGUAUUUAGAUUGUAUUAUUGUAUGGAAAUAAUAUAAAGAAAGCGUUUUGUACUCACUGGUGUGUUUUUAUAUUUAUACCAUCAAUAAAAAUUUGUAUUUAUUAAA